rnacentral:rRNA from 1 species
CCUACGGGAGGCAGCAGUGAGGAAUAUUGGUCAAUGGGCGGGAGCCUGAACCAGCCAAGUCGCGUGAGGGACGAAGGUCCUGUGGAUUGUAAACCUCUUUUGUCAGGGAACAAAGACGGCCACGCGUCCGCGGAUGAGUGUACCUGAAGAAAAAGCAUCGGCUAACUCCGUGCCAGCAGCCGCGGUAAUACGGAGGAUGCGAGCGUUAUCCGGAUUUAUUGGGUUUAAGGGGUGCGAAGGCGGUCAGUAAAGUCAGCGGUAAAAGUGCGGGGCUCAACCCCGUACAGCCGUUGAAACUGGCAGUCUUGAGUUGGCGAGAAGUAUGCGGAAUGCGCGGUGUAGCGGUGAAAUGCAUAGAUAUCGCGCAGAACUCCGAUUGCGAAGGCAGCAUACCGGCUCCCUACUGACGCUGAGGCACGAAAGCGUGGGUAUCGAACAGGAUUAGAUACCCGUGUAGUC